rnacentral:rRNA from 1 species
AUUGAACGCUGGCGGAAUGCUUUACACAUGCAAGUCGGGCGGCAGCGCGGGGGCAACCCUGGCGCGAGCGGCGAACGGGUGAGUAAUACAUCGGAACGUGUCCUUGAGUGGGGAUAGGCUCGGCGAAAGCCGGAUUAAUACCGCAUAAGCUCUGAGGAGAAAGCGGGGACUGGUAACGCCUCGCGCUGUUGGAGCGGCCGAUGUCGGAUUAGCUAGUUGGUGGGUAAAGCCCACCAAGGCGACGAUCCGUAGCUGGUCUGAGAGGAUGAUCAGCCACACUGGAACCUGAGACACGGUCCAGACUCCUACGGGAGGCAGCAGUGGGAAUUUUGGACAAUGGGGCAACCCUGAUCCAGCCAUUCCGCGUGAGU